rnacentral:rRNA from 2 species
AGAGUUUGAUCAUGGCUCAGAUUGAACGCUGGCGGCAGGCCUAACACAUGCAAGUCGAACGGUAACAGGAAGAAGCUUGCUUCUUUGCUGACGAGUGGCGGACGGGUGAGUAAUGUCUGGGAAACUGCCUGAUGGAGGGGGAUAACUACUGGAAACGGUAGCUAAUACCGCAUAAUGUCGCAAGACCAAAGAGGGGGACCUUCGGGCCUCUUGCCAUCGGAUGUGCCCAGAUGGGAUUAGCUUGUUGGUGGGGUAACGGCUCACCAAGGCGACGAUCCCUAGCUGGUCUGAGAGGAUGACCAGCCACACUGGAACUGAGACACGGUCCAGACUCCUACGGGAGGCAGCAGUGGGGAAUAUUGCACAAUGGGCGCAAGCCUGAUGCAGCCAUGCCGCGUGUAUGAAGAAGGCCUUCGGGUUGUAAAGUACUUUCAGCGGGGAGGAAGGGAGUAAAGUUAAUACCUUUGCUCAUUGACGUUACCCGCAGAAGAAGCACCGGCUAACUCCGUGCCAGCAGCCGCGGUAAUACGGAGGGUGCAAGCGUUAAUCGGAAUUACUGGGCGUAAAGCGCACGCAGGCGGUUUGUUAAGUCAGAUGUGAAAUCCCCGGGCUCAACCUGGGAACUGCAUCUGAUACUGGCAAGCUUGAGUCUCGUAGAGGGGGGUAGAAUUCCAGGUGUAGCGGUGAAAUGCGUAGAGAUCUGGAGGAAUACCGGUGGCGAAGGCGGCCCCCUGGACGAAGACUGACGCUCAGGUGCGAAAGCGUGGGGAGCAAACAGGAUUAGAUACCCUGGUAGUCCACGCCGUAAACGAUGUCGACUUGGAGGUUGUGCCCUUGAGGCGUGGCUUCCGGAGCUAACGCGUUAAGUCGACCGCCUGGGGAGUACGGCCGCAAGGUUAAAACUCAAAUGAAUUGACGGGGGCCCGCACAAGCGGUGGAGCAUGUGGUUUAAUUCGAUGCAACGCGAAGAACCUUACCUGGUCUUGACAUCCACAGAACUUUCCAGAGAUGGAUUGGUGCCUUCGGGAACUGUGAGACAGGUGCUGCAUGGCUGUCGUCAGCUCGUGUUGUGAAAUGUUGGGUUAAGUCCCGCAACGAGCGCAACCCUUAUCCUUUGUUGCCAGCGGUCCGGCCGGGAACUCAAAGGAGACUGCCAGUGAUAAACUGGAGGAAGGUGGGGAUGACGUCAAGUCAUCAUGGCCCUUACGACCAGGGCUACACACGUGCUACAAUGGCGCAUACAAAGAGAAGCGACCUCGCGAGAGCAAGCGGACCUCAUAAAGUGCGUCGUAGUCCGGAUUGGAGUCUGCAACUCGACUCCAUGAAGUCGGAAUCGCUAGUAAUCGUGGAUCAGAAUGCCACGGUGAAUACGUUCCCGGGCCUUGUACACACCGCCCGUCACACCAUGGGAGUGGGUUGCAAAAGAAGUAGGUAGCUUAACCUUCGGGAGGGCGCUUACCACUUUGUGAUUCAUGACUGGGGUGAAGUCGUAACAAGGUAACCGUAGGGGAACCUGCGGUUGGAUCACCU